UAUGAGCAGUGGGGUCAGAUGAGGUAAUCAUGGUUCUGAAAUAGAAACAACAUGAGUGAGCAUGUGCAGAAUGAGAUACAGUAAUGUAUGGUGAUAAGCAUGUACAGCCUGAAGAUGAGGUAAUGUGUGUUAGUAAGUAUGCUCAAUAGGGGUUAAGAAUAGCAUUACAAAAAAACCUCUGAUAAAACAGCAUAAAAGGCAGGAAGUUAAGACACUUGACAGAGAACAAGAUUGGAGAGCAGGCAAAGAGGUCAGUCGGGAGCCAGUGAGAAGAGCUGCUGGAAAGGAGCAAAAAGAAAGAUCCAAGGGCUUACCGAGCAAACAGAAAUGUUGUUGAGGAGAUCGAAGAGUUCCAGAGAGAGAGGGUUUAGAAUCCCGAGAAGAACGCUGCUAAGAAAAGCUACUUCAGCAGCAAGUAGCAGCAACAUUAGUAACAAUGUGGUGGAAUCACCAGACAGACCUUGGCAUCAUCUAUGAUUUGUAUAACUUCAACUGACUCCCCUGGUUUCACUGAGGAAUUUUGGUGUUAGCGAAGGUCGCGGAACUGGCACAGGCAGAGAGUGAAACCAUCUUUCCAUCAAACAAACAGGGUACAGCACAGGCAGCGGCAACGCAGACUUCCCUUCACUGUUUCCCAAUAUACUCCCGCUCUGAGCUGGAUGAAUCACUCUAAGGGCUCCAGAGGCAAUCCUGGCAAUUACAGGUCAGUAAGUCUCACUUCAGUACCAGGCAAACUGAUUGAAACUAUAGUAAAGAACAGAAUUAUCAGACGCAUGGAUGAACACAAUAUGUUGGGGAAGAGUCAACACGGAUUUUGUAAAGGGAAAUCAUGCCUCAUCAAUUUGUAGAAUUCUUUGAUGGAUCAACAAACAUGUGGACAAGGGUGAUCCAGUGGAUACAGUGCACUUGGACUUUCAGAAAGUCUUUGACAAGGUCCCUCACCAAAGACUGUUAAGCAAAGUAAGCAGACAUGGGAUAAGAGGGAAGGUCCUCUCAUGGAUCUGUAACUGGUUAAAAGACAGGAAACAAAAAGAGUCGGAAUAAAUGGUCAAUUUUCACAGUGGAGAGAGGUAAAUAGUGGGGUCCCCACUGGGACCAGUGCUGUUCAUCAUAUUCAUAAAUGAUCUGGAAAAAGGGGUAAACUCAGGUUUCAAAGUUUGCAGAUGACAGAAAAUUACUCAAGAUUGUUAAGUCUAAAGCUGACUGUGAAGAGUUACAAAUGGAUCUCACAAACUGGGAGACAGGACAAGAAAUUGGCAGAGGAAAUUCUUUAUUGAUAAAUGCAUAGUAAUGCACACUGGAAAUCAUAAUCCCAACUAUACCAUACAAAACGAUAGGGUCUAAAUUAGCUGUUAUCAGACAAGAAAGAGAUCUUGGAGUCAUUGUAGAUUGUUCUCUGAAAACAUUUCCUCCAGGUGCAGAGGCAGUCAAAAAAGCUAACAGAGUGUUAGGAACCAUUAGGAAAGGGAUAGAUAAUAAGACAGAAAAUGUCAUAAUGUCACUAUAUAAACCCAUGGUACGCCCACAUCUUCAAUACUGCAUGUAGUCCUGGUUGCCAUAUCUCAAAAAAAGAUAUAUUAGAACUGGAAAAGGUACAGAAAGGGCAACAAAAAUGUUUCUGGGUAUGGAACAGCUUCCCUAUGAGGAGAGAUGAAAAAAGACUGGGAUUGUUCAAUUUAUAAAAGAGAUGACUAAGGGAGGAGAUGAGAGACAUGUAUAAAAUCAUGACUGGUGUGCAGGAAGUGAAUAAGGAGGUGUUAUUUACUCCUUCACAUUAGACAAGAACCAGGGGUCACCCAAUGGAAUUAAUAGGCAGCAAGUUUAAAACAAACAUAAGGAAGUACUUCUUCACAUAAUGCACAGUCAGCCCAUGGAAUUCAUUGCCAGGGGAUAUUGUGAAGGCCAAAAGUAAGACUGGGUUCAAAAAAGAAUUAGAUAAAUUCGUGGAGGAUAGGCCCAUCAAUGGCUAUUAGCCAAUGGUCAGUGAGGCAACUCUAUGCUUUGGGUGUCCCUAAAGCUCUGAUUGCCAGAAGCUGGAACUGGGCAACAGGGGAUGGAGCAUUCGAUAACUGCCCUGUUCUAUUCAUUCCCUCUGAAGCAUCUAGCACUGGUUGCUGUCGGAAGACAGCUUUCAGGGCUAGAUGGACGAUUGGUCUGACCCAAUAUAGCCAUUCUUGUGCUUUUAUUGUGUAAGAGGAACAAUCUUUAUUACUUUGCAGCUUAUCAGCAUCAUAUAGUUUUUGAGAUUGAUUAAAUGCCUAAAUCCUAUUUCAGUUAUUAAUGGCAGCAGCUGUUUAAUGUUUUGUGUACCACAAAGCAAAAAAAAUCCUUUAAUUAAAAUGAUACAAUAAAUGAUGAGUCUGUGUGAAUUGUACUAUUAUUACUAAUUUGUGCCUACUGUGGUAGUGUCAGACAUAAGGCCAAAACAACAAGGAGU